rnacentral:rRNA from 1 species
GAUGAACGCUAGCGGGAGGCCUAACACAUGCAGGCCGAGCGGUAGAGUUUCUUCGGAAACUUGAGAGCGGCGCACGGGUGCGUAACACGUGUGCAACCUACCUUUAUCUGGGGGAUAGCCUUUCGAAAGGAAGAUUAAUACCCCAUAAUAUAAUGAUUGGCAUCAAUUAUUAUUGAAAACUCCGGUGGAUAGAGAUGGGCACGCGCAAGAUUAGAUAGUUGGUGAGGUAACGGCUCACCAAGUCAAUGAUCUUUAGGGGUCCUGAGAGGGAGAUCCCCCACACUGGUACUGAGACACGGACCAGACUCCUACGGGAGGCAGCAGUGAGGAAUAUUGGACAAUGGGUGAGAGCCUGAUCCAGCCAUCCCGCGUGAAGGAUGACGGUCCUAUGGAUUGUAAACUUCUUUUGUACAGGGAUAAACCUACCCUCGUGAGGGUAGCUGAAGGUACUGUACGAAUAAGCACCGGCUAACUCCGUG